rnacentral:rRNA from 1 species
UAUUCCUGUACCACCUAUAAUCGUUUUAAUCGAUGGGGGGACGCAGUAGGAUAGGCGAAGCGUGCGAUUGGAUUGCACGUCUAAGCAGUAAGGCUGAGUAUUAGGCAAAUCCGGUACUCGUUAAGGCUGAGCUGUGAUGGGGAGAAGACAUUGUGUCUUCGAGUCGUUGAUUUCACACUGCCGAGAAAAGCCUCUAGAUAGAAAAUAGGUGCCCGUACCGCAAACCGACACAGGUAGUCAAGAUGAGAAUUCUAAGGUGAGCGAGCGAACUCUCGUUAAGGAACUCGGCAAAAUGACCCCGUAACUUCGGGAGAAGGGGUGCUCUUUAGGGUUAACGCCCAGAAGAGCCGCAGUGAAUAGGCCCAAGCGACUGUUUAUCAAAAACACAGGUCUCUGCUAAACCGUAAGGUGAUGUAUAGGGGCUGACGCCUGCCCGG